GAUGGACCCGUCCUCCGGUGCCUACUGAGCUGAUAUCAGUUCUGAUUUUACAUACUGGCUCAGUUCAGCAGGAACAGGAGUCGAGCCCUAAA
ensembl:miRNA